UACGUAGGGUGCAAGCGUUGUCCGGAAUCAUUGGGCGUAAAGCGCGCGUAGGCGGCCCUGUAAGUCCGUUGUGAAAGUCGAAGGAUCAACCUUCGAAAGCCGAUGGAUACUGCAGGGCUAGAGUCCGGAAGAGGCGAGUGGAAUUCCUGGUGUAGCGGUGGAAUGCGCAGAUAUCAGGAGGAACACCAAUAGCGAAGGCAGCUCGCUGGGACGGUACUGACGCUAAGGCGCGAAAGCGUGGGGAGCGAACAGG
rnacentral:rRNA from 1 species